CCAAUAGCGUAUAUUAAAGUUGUUGCAGUUAAAAAGCUCGUAGUUGAAUUUCGAGAUCAAAUUGUUGGUCGUGCCUUGGUACGCACUGGCAUUAUUGGUUUCUCCCUUCUGACGAACCAUGAUGUCAUUAAUUUGGUGUCUUGGGGAAUCAGGACUGUUACUUUGAAAAAAUAAGAGUGUUUAAAGCAGGCUCACGCUGGAAUACAUUAGAAUGGAAUAAUGACAUAGGACAUUUGAUUCUAUUUUGUUGGUUUCUAGGAUCGACGUAAUGAUUAAUAGGGAUAGUUGGGGGCAUUAGUAUUCAAUUGUCAGAGGUGAAAUUCUUGGAUUUAUUGAAGACUAACUACUGCGAAAGCAUUUGCCAAGGAUGUUUUCAUUAAUCAAGAACGAAAGUUAGGGGAUCGAAGACGAUCAGAUACCGUCGUAGUCUUAACCAUAAACUAUGCCGACUAGGGAUCGGAUGAUGUUAAUUUUUUAAUGACUCAUUCGGCGCCUUACG
rnacentral:rRNA from 1 species